rnacentral:rRNA from 1 species
GACGAACGCUGGCGGCGUGCCUAAUACAUGCCAGUAGAACGCUGAAGGAGGAGCUUGCUUCUCCGGAUGAGUUGCGAACGGGUGAGUAACGCGUAGGUAACCUGCCUGGUAGCGGGGGAUAACUAUUGGAAACGAUAGCUAAUACCGCAUAAGAGUAGAUGUUGCAUGACAUUUGCUUAAAAGGUGCAAUUGCAUCACUACCAGAUGGACCUGCGUUGUAUUAGCUAGUUGGUGGGGUAACGGCUCACCAAGGCGACGAUACAUAGCCUCCCUGAGAGGGUGAUCGGCAACACGGGGAAUGAGACAAGGCGCAGAAUACUACGGGAGGCAGCAGUAGGGAAACUUCGGCAAUGGACGGAAGUCUGACCGAGCAACGCCGCGUGAGUGAAGAAGGUUUUCGGAUCGUAAAGCUCUGUUGUAAGAGAAGAACGAGUGUGAGAGUGGAAAGUUCACAAUGUGACGGUAUCUUACCAGAAAGGGACGGCUAACUACGUG